UAUGUAUACUUGCUUACAUACAUUUGCUAUAUACUUUCCUUAGUAUAGAGGAUGAUGGUUUCAGCCAUUUUUAUUUAAAUGUGAAAAGAAGGGAUGAUCCUGUGAGGCUGGAAGACUGCAGGAUACAGAGAUAAACAAGAUAAACAAGUGGAGGAAAAUAAAAAUCCCUCUCUACCAGGUUGGUGUUUCCAGAGACAAAACUCUGAGAUGGAUCUCGGUGUAGGAUGUUUAUUACAAGAAUACCCUGAGGAUCCACACCUGUGGAUAGAGGGCGAGCAGACAGAAUUGAGGAGAGAAAGAAGUCAGACUGCCAUGCAGGCUGAGCACAGCCUUGACUGAUGCCCUGGGAGCUCUGGAGCCAGAGGAGUUCAUUGGAAAUGCUUCCAGUAUUUCACCGUUAAGUCUGAUGUUGGCUUUUGAAUUGGGAUAGAUUUUUUUCCUCAUGUUUAAGAAGUAUCUAUUCGUAUGUUAUUAAUUUUUUUUUUAAAUCGAGGAUGUUUGUUGUUUAAAAUCCCUUUACAAUCUAUGAAGAUGAUCAUCUGAUC
ensembl:lncRNA